rnacentral:sRNA from 1 species
AGAGGAGGAACACUAUUGAACAUCGUGUU